ACCCUCCUGGUGCUUACUACAGGCUGUGUUCUUAUUUACUGGACUAUAUAGAAGAGAGGAGGCAAAGUAAAUUUACCCCAUAUAUACCUUAGCUAGGAACCGUGCCUGGUCUGUAUUAUGAAUGGGGAAAAUGG
rnacentral:snoRNA from 1 species